GAUGAACGCUGGCGGCGUGCCUAAUACAUGCAAGUCGAGCGAACAGACGAGGAGCUUGCUCCUCUGACGUUAGCGGCGGACGGGUGAGUAACACGUGGAUAACCUACCUAUAAGACUGGGAUAACUUCGGGAAACCGGAGCUAAUACCGGAUAACAUGUUGAACCGCAUGGUUUAACAGUGAAAGACGGUCUUGCUGUCACUUAUAGAUGGAUCCGCGCCGCAUUAGCUAGUUGGUAAGGUAACGGCUUACCAAGGCAACGAUGCGUAGCCGACCUGAGAGGGGGAUCGGCCACACGAGAACGUAGACACGGUCCAGACUCCUACGGGAGGCAGCAGUAGGGAAUCUUCCGCAGUGGGCGAAAGCCUGACGGAGCAACGCCGCGUGAGUGAAGAAGGUCUUCGGAUCGGAAAACUCUGUUAUUAGGGAAGAACAAAUGCGUAAGUAACUAUGCACGUCUUGACGGUACUUAAUCAGAAAGCCACGGCUAACUACGUG
rnacentral:rRNA from 1 species